rnacentral:snoRNA from 1 species
UAUUGUGGUGGUUUCUGUAUCUGGCAGAUCUGUAACAGUAUCAGAGCGGCCUUGAGCCACCACAAAGAUCGGAAAGGAGGACGGGCAUCCUGAGAACUGUUUCAAGCUUUCAGUUUUCAGGAUUCUUUUUUUCUUUUUGGUUCAACUCCUACAAAA